rnacentral:snoRNA from 1 species
GUGAUGAUUCCGCUGAGCGGUGACGUCGUGAUAUUAUUUUCAGCCGGCUGA